rnacentral:misc_RNA from 1 species
AAGUCGUAACAAGGUUUCCGUAGGUGAACCUGCGGAAGGAUCAUUAACACGUAUCCAACGUUAAACAACCCUGUGAACCUUGAACGUGCUCCUGCGGCCCCAUGAAAUCAGCAAUCCCUGGUAAAUCAUCGCCGAACAGUUUUCGAUUCAGGGAUGUCUGCAAGGAGCGUGCAUGUUGUGCGAGCAAGUGGCCUGGCAUCCCCAAGCAGUUAGUGUCUGAAAGUGUCAUUAACUGUGUAAGGAUGACGCAGUCACGAUCGUUGGAGGCCCACACGGCCGACGACCGGGUCACUGGGCGCAAGCCCCCCUAUAACAAACGCUGCUAAUCGCGGCCGCGAUAAUACGCAGUCGACCAAAAACCGAACAACUGUUAACAAUGGAUAUCUUGGUUCUC